rnacentral:rRNA from 1 species
UACAGAGGUCCCAAGCGUUGUUCGGAUUUACUGGGCGUAAAGGGCGCGUAGGCGGCCACCGCAAGUCGACUGUGAAAUCUCCGGGCUUAACCCGGAGAGGUCAGCCGAUACUGCGGGGCUAGAGUGCAGAAGGGGCAACUGGAAUUCUCGGUGUAGCGGUGAAAUGCGUAGAUAUCGAGAGGAACACCUGCGGCGAAGGCGGGUUGCUGGGCUGACACUGACGCUGAAGCGCGAAAGCUAGGGGAGCGAACGGG